AUACGUAGGGGGCGAGCGUUGUCCGGAAUGAUUGGGCGUAAAGGGCGCGUAGGCGGCGCGGUAAGUCUGGAGUGAAAGUCCUGCUUUCAAGGUGGGAAUUGCUUUGGAUACUGCCGCGCUUGAGUGCAGGAGAGGUUAUCGGAAUUCCCGGUGUAGCGGUGAGAUGCGUAGAGAUCGGGAGGAACACCAGUGGCGAAGGCGGGUAACUGGACUGCAACUGACGCUGAGGCGCGAAAGUGUGGGGAGCAAACAGGAUUAGAUACCCUGGUAGUCCACACUGUAAACGAUGAAUGCUAGGUGUAAGAGGUAUCGACCCCUUUUGUGCCGGAGUCAACACAAUAAGCAUUCCGCCUGGGGAGUACGGCCGCAAGGUUGAAACUCAAAGGAAUUGACGGGG
rnacentral:rRNA from 1 species